GGUAAUCUNCCNCAAAUGGACCGCAAGUCUGAUGGAGCAACGCCGCGUGUAGUGAAGAAGGUCUUUCGGAUCGUAAAGCUCUGUUGUUGGUGAAGAAGGAUAGAGGUANNAACUGGCCUUUAUUUGACGGUAAUCAACCAGAAAGUCACGGCUAACUACGUGCCAGCAGCCGCGGUAAUACGUAGGUGGCAAGCGUUGUCCGGAUUUAUUGGGCGUAAAGCGAGCGCAGGCGGAAGAAUAAGUCUGAUGUGAAAGCCCUCGGCUUAACCGAGGCAACUGCAUCNGAAACUGUNUUUCUUGAGNGCAGAANAGGAGAGUGGAACUCCAUGNGUAGCGGUGGAAUGCGUAGAUAUAUGGAAGAACACCAGCUGGCGAAGGCGGNUCUCUGGNUCUGCAACUGACGCUGANGCUCGCAAAGCAUGGGUAGCGNAACAGGAUUAGAUACCCUGGGUAGUCCAUGCCGUAAACGAUGAGUGCCUANCNGUUGGGAGGUUUCCGCCUCUCAGUGCUGCAGNUAACCCAUUAAGCCACUCCGCCCUGGGGAGUACGACCGCUANGUUGGAAAUUCNACAGGGAAUUGACGGGGGCCCGCNNCAAGGCGGNGGCAGCAAUGUGGUUUAAUUCCAAGCCANCGCGAAAGNAACCUUACCNNGGCU
rnacentral:rRNA from 1 species